rnacentral:rRNA from 1 species
UACGUAGGGUCCGAGCGUUGUCCGGAAUUAUUGGGCGUAAAGGGCUCGUAGGCGGUUAGUCGCGUCGGGAGUGAAAACUCAGGGCUCAACCCUGAGCGUGCUUCCGAUACGGGCUGACUAGAGGUAUGCAGGGGAGAACGGAAUUCCUGGUGUAGCGGUGGAAUGCGCAGAUAUCAGGAGGAACACCGGUGGCGAAGGCGGCCCUCUGGACGGUGACUGACGCUGAGGAGCGAAAGUGUGGGGAGCGAACAGG